AUUGAACGCUGGCGGCACGCCUAACACAUGCAAGUCGAGCGGCAGCGAGAUUAGUAGCAAUACUAAUUGUCGGCGAGCGGCGGACGGGUGAGUAAUACGUAAGAAUCUGCCCUCAAGCGGGGGAUAACUAAUGGAAACGUUAGCUAAUACCGCAUAAUCUCGAGAGAGAAAAGGUGCCCGUAAGGGUGUCACUUGAGGAGGAGCUUGCGUCUGAUUAGCUAGUUGGUGGGGUAAGAGCCUACCAAGGCGAUGAUCAGUAACUGGUCUGAGAGGACGACCAGUCACACUGGGACUGAGACACGGCCCAGACUCCUACGGGAGGCAGCAGUGGGGAAUAUUGGACAAUGGGGGAAACCCUGAUCCAGCGAUGCCGCGUGAGUGAAGAAGGCCUUCGGGUCGUAAUGCUCUUUAGGUUGGGAAGAAGAAUGUAGGUUGAAUACACCUAUGUUUUGACGGUACCGACAGAAUAAGCACCGGCAAACUCUGUGCCAGCAGCCGCCGUAA
rnacentral:rRNA from 1 species